GCUUCACAUUUGGAAUUACACAAAAAAGAUUUUUCAUCGGAAAGAGGUCUACGAAGACUUUUGGGAAAACGUCGACGUUUGCUGGCUUAUUUGGCAAAGAAAAAUAGAGUACGUCCUUCUCGGUAA
rnacentral:rRNA from 1 species